rnacentral:rRNA from 1 species
UAGGGAAUCUUCGGCAAUGGACGAAAGUCUGACCGAGCAACGCCGCGUGAGUGAAGAAGGUUUUCGGAUCGUAAAACUCUGUUGUUAGAGAAGAACAAGGACGUUAGUAACUGAACGUCCCCUGACGGUAUCUAACCAGAAAGCCACGGCUAACUACGUGCCAGCAGCCGCGGUAAUACGUAGGUGGCAAGCGUUGUCCGGAUUUAUUGGGCGUAAAGCGAGCGCAGGCGGUUUCUUAAGUCUGAUGUGAAAGCCCCCGGCUCAACCGGGGAGGGUCAUUGGAAACUGGGAGACUUGAGUGCAGAAGAGGAGAGUGGAAUUCCAUGUGUAGCGGUGAAAUGCGUAGAUAUAUGGAGGAACACCAAUGGCGAAGGCGGCUCUCUGGUCUGUAACUGACGCUGAGGCUCGAAAGCGUGGGGAGCAAACAGG